AUGGAGCAAUGUCCUGACUGCCCAUGCAGCGCGCCGCUAAUGUUGUUCACUUCGAAGGAGGUCAAGAAUGGCAACUAUGGGCACGAGUUCGUGAAAUGCGAGAGCAAGCCAGAGGGGCAGAUCAUGAAGAAAUGCACACAUUUUGAAUGGCUGGAUGACUACGUUAAGCGGAUUCAAUUCAAUGGGGCCCCAACCCGUGAGCUCAAUCUGCCGUCAGCAACAACGAAUUUGGUCUCUAAAAGUGUUGCUCUAAAGGGGGAAAUAAAGAAGAUGAACAAGAACUUUAAGCAGAUGAUUCAAUUGAACAAGCAGGCGAAUCUGAUAGCUUUAGGAUUUUAUCCCUUUUAUUUUUGUGUAGUUGCUGUAGGAUUUGCUUAA
rnacentral:rRNA from 1 species